rnacentral:rRNA from 1 species
CAAGUCGAACGAUGAAGCUGGAGCUUGCUCUAGUGGAUUAGUGGCGAACGGGUGAGUAACACGUGAGCAAUCUGCCCUUGACUCUGGGAUAACUGCGGGAAACUGUAGCUAAUACCGGAUACGACACCUUGGGGCAUCCCGAGGUGUGGAAAGAAUUUCGGUCAAGGAUGAGCUCGCGGCCUAUCAGCUUGUUGGUGAGGUAAAAGCUCACCAAGGCGACGACGGGUAGCCGGCCUGAGAGGGUGACCGGCCACACUGGAACUGAGAUACGGUCCAGACUCCUACGGGAGGCAGCAGUGGGGAAUAUUGCACAAUGGGCGCAAGCCUGAUGCAGCAACGCCGCGUGAGGGAUGAAGGCCUUCGGGUUGUAAACCUCUUUUAUCAGGGAAGAAGCGAAAGUGACGGUACCUGAAGAAAAAGCACCGGCUAACUACGUGCCAGCAGCCGCGGUAAUACGUAGGGUGCAAGCGUUGUCCGGAAUUAUUGGGCGUAAAGAGCUCGUAGGCGGUUUGUCGCGUCUGCUGUGAAAAUCCAAGGCUCAACCUUGGACCUGCAGUGGGUACGGGCAGACUAGAGUGCGGUAGGGGAGAUGGGAAUUCCUGGUGUAGCGGUGGAAUGCGCAGAUAUCAGGAGGAACACCAAUGGCGAAGGCACAUCUCUGGGCCGUAACUGACGCUGAGGAGCGAAAGCGUGGGGAGCGAACAGGAUUAGAUACCCUGGUAGUCCACGCCGUAAACGGUGGGUGCUAGUUGUGGGCCACAUUCCACGUGGUCCGUGACGAAGUUAACACAUUAAGCACCCCGCCUGGGGAGUACGGUCGCAAGACUAAAACUCAAAGGAAUUGACGG